rnacentral:rRNA from 1 species
AGAGUUUGAUCCUGGCUCAGGACGAACGCUGGCGGCAUGCCUAAUACAUGCAAGUCGAACGCUGAAGCACUCUGCUUGCAGAGUGCGGAUGAGUGGCGAACGGGUGAGUAACACGUGGGAAAUCUGCCUAGGAGUGGGGGAUAACAUUCGGAAACGGAUGCUAAUACCGCAUAUCUUUUUGAACCGCAUGGUUCUUAAACGAAAGACGGCUUCGGCUGUCGCUCUUAGAUGAUCCCGCGGCGUAUUAGUUAGUUGGUGGGGUAAAGGCCUACCAAGACCAUGAUACGUAGCCGACCUGAGAGGGUGAUCGGCCACACUGGGACUGAGACACGGCCCAGACUCCUACGGGAGGCAGCAGUAGGGAAUCUUCCACAAUGGGUGAAAACCUGAUGGAGCAAUGCCGCGUGAAUGAAGAAGGUCUUCGGAUCGUAAAGUUCUGUUAUUAGAGAAGAACAAGUCAAGGAGUAACUGUCUUGACUUUGACGGUACCUAACCAGAAAGUCACGGCUAACUACGUGCCAGCAGCCGCGGUAAUACGUAGGUGACAAGCGUUGUCGGGAAUUAUUGGGCGUAAAGGGAGCGCAGGCGGUUGGAAAUAAUCUGAUGUGAAAGCCCACGGCUUAACCGUGGGAAGGGCUUUGGAAACUGGUCCAUUUUGAAUGCAAAAGAAGGAAGUGGAAUUUCCCAGUGUAGCGGGGAAAUGCGAAAAUUUUUGGAGGAAACCCCGGGGGGAAGAGGCAAUUUUCGGGGUUUG